UAUCCCCACCUCACCCUCGGUUCAUCUCCCACAUGACCUGCCGCUUCUCCCUCGUUCCUCUUCCACCUGAUCCACCACCAUGAACCUGACCUACACCUACGGUUAUGCCCCUCAUCCACCAAGCUCCCAAGAUACAGCAGGUCCAUGGCCUCCACAUCCACAACCAUCGGGAGGAAGCCGAGCAGGAGAGGUACUGGCUAACCCUAGACCGACCUCCCCGUGGUGUAGGGGCUACGGGUGAGGAGAAUGGAGAUGCGGUGGGUGCACGGGCUGAGUGUUCUUCCCGUGGGAGUAGGAUCUGGGCGGGGAGAAGGAGGAGGCGCAUGCGUCGCCGCAGCAUCAAGGAAGACUUGACCUUCAAGAUGCUCUUAUUCGUUGUUGCAGAUUUAUUUGUAAAAGAAGAUAAGAUUGGUCAAGCAAGCUCUUCCUCACAUGUUUCCUUAUAUGACUUUUCUCCAAUUAAGGUUUGAGUACUACAAUCAGAAAAAUCCAUCACAGUUUUUGCUGGUCCCGAAUAAUGUAUUAAAUUCAUCCCGAACUUUAAGUUCAGAGAAGAUGGUACGUAUUUGUUUCCUGCAGCAAUCAUGCCAAUGCGUGAGAUUUUACGAAAAGAGAACAGUCAGUUUGAUUCAUGUCCCAAACUGUCCGAAGCAAUAUGCAGUACCAAAGCUAGUAUCAAGAUAAUUCACUCUAGCCUGAAGCAGCACGCACAUACACAGCUCCUGAUAGCUUGUUUCGUUGAUCAGUCCUCACGGCUGGAAACGUACAGGUUAAAAAAGUGGGUGUAUUGCCUCGUAUUGAGCCUGAUUGUUUAGCAUAUUUUGCUCGUAGCGAGGGUAGAACCAUGACUUGGCUUGGUUCGGGACCUCCAGAAGCUUUGAAUUUGGCUGCGAUGGAUUGUAAGGACUUGAGGUUUUGAGUAAUACAAAUUUCUACCCGCAAAAAAAAAGUAUUGAGCCUGAUUGUUUUUUUAAUUCUCUUUGUUUUUUAGUGUUUACAAAGGGGUGUGCAUGCGUAUAUAUAGCAGCUAGGACUACCACAAGCUAGUCUACUUGGUUACAAGUUCUAAUCCUAGUAUACUACGUACUACCUCCGUUCCAGAAUAUAAGACGUUUUGGUAGGCGUAGGUGUUUGUUCUGUGUACAACCCAGAUACGACAACACACACACCAUCGUUAUUUCCAAUAUACUCUCUGUGCAAUUUAAUUAUCUUUAGCAAAAGAUUAUUUUUCGCACCACCAUGGUUUCUUGUCUAAUUGUAUCUUGUGUUUUCAUCUGCUCCCGGUGGUCGGUGCUCAUGUAUGAUUUUGAUAAAAGCCACAGAUGUUUGCAUUUGAAUUCCAUUAUAACCAUUCAUAUAUCAGUAUAUACUAAUGCUCUCUAUGCCUAUAACCAUUUAUGCCUUGUAAUUAUGUUCUGUUUUGUCACUCACGGCAUAUGCAAGUACUUCCUUGUGCUAUUUACUUGCAACAAAUAUUGAUUUGUAACUAUGUGGCCAGAUUUCUAUCAUUGCUUACAGAUCUACCGGACUCAUUAAAGCCAAGAUGCUCAAGAAUGAUGGUGCACCUUAAUAUAAAGAAGCCUGAGGAGUAUUGUAGUUGCCGAUGAAGUUAUAUCCAUUCAAACAAUGAUGGUGCCCCUCUAUUGAAGAUUAAUAAAUACUAUAUUUUCUAGUUAUUUUGUUUCCAAAUUAGAUAUGAGCAGUACAUUGGUCAUGUAUAAGGAGUGCUUUUGACUCGAAUGUCUUAGAUGUUGUUUAAAUUCCAGAACUGUAUGUCGGAAUUUUGUUAACUUGUCUUAUUUAAUAAAGGAGGGUAUGACACUUUCAAUA